UUCACCUUAUUCCGCCACGCCCCUUUUUAAUUCUUCGCUCUUCCGCAUUUUGUCAACCGACUUCCGCUGCUAAUAUGGCACAGUGCAUUCGGUGGUUAGUUUGGGGGUUAGAAGAUUGUUUGUAGUUCACUAUAACUUUAACCAAAUGACAAAUAUCGCUACUGCUGUUAAUGUUUUAAAUUAGGAGCACGGAGAAAACUUCAUAAGACGCUCGGAUAGUCUUAUAUCGUCCCAUCAAUCGUCUCGUGGUUAGACGAUAUGAAGCGGCCGCGGCAAGUAACCUGGCAUAUUUAAUUACCUCGUCCUGUCAGGAGUUGAUGGAUCAGCAUUGGAAAUUAUUAAAGUACUUAUGCCUACCAAUAUUUACACAGUGAUUUCGUCUUUUUUAAAGCAAAUGUGCACCUUAGCCAGUCCAAUAACUAUUUCGUUUUUAUGUGGUACCAUGAUAGAAUUCAUUUGCAAACUUGCCAACACUUAUUCCUUCAAAUCAGGAGACUUAAAUCCUUUUAAGUGGAAUCUACAAAGCUCACAUAUAGUUUAAGAAAUUCCUUACAGAUAAUAUCUGAUCACACUGUAAAGGUUUAUAUAACUGCAUGGCAGGUUACAUCUGAUCACAUAGUAAAUGUUUAAUAUAACUGCACAACAUCUGAUCAUAUUGUAAAGGUUUAAUAUAAUUGCACAACAUCUGAUCACACUGUAAAUGUUUAAUAUAACUGCACAACAUCUGAUCACAUUGUAAAGGUUUAAUAUAAUUGCACAACAUCUGAUCACAUUUUAAGGUUUAAUAUAAUUGCACAACAUCUGAUCACAUUGUAAAUGUUUAAUAUCACUGCAUCUGAUCACAUAUGAAGGUUUAAUGUAACUUUACAACAGGUAAAGCAAGACCACCCUGCAAUAAAUUAAGACACAGCUUUAUCGGAGUCAUCAGGAGCUGAUCCCAAGUGUUUAUCUGGAAGCUGUUGGUGUAUGUACUGGUAAAGUGCUUGGCGACUGUGUAAUGGAUGCAAUAUCAACCCUCUGUAAAGCUGAACCAAAGAUGGUUGUUUCUCAGCAGAGAUAUGUACAUUUGUGCCAGCUCAACACAUUGAAGCAGUUUCUCGGACAGGGUUUACAGGACUAGGAUUUAAUUAUAUUAGGACAUUUUAGUUUUUACAAACAAACCCUACAAAAAAACAAGACUGGUGCGCAUCUUGU